rnacentral:rRNA from 1 species
AUGACGGAUGCUAUAUCGAAAUACUGGUGGGGAGAUGACGACAAUCAUAAGCGAAUCCAUUGGGCAGCUUGGUGGAAGCUGUGUAUACCGAAAGAAAGGGGAGGGUUGGGAUUCAGGGACUUACACAGUUUUAACUUAGCUCUACCAGCUAAACAAGUUUGGAGGCUGCUGGAGAAUCCUGAUUCUCUGUGUGCUCAGAUUUUGAGAGCCAAGUAUUAUCCGGAUGGGAAACUAUUUGAUGCCAAGGUAAAAAGUGGAAGCUCAUAUACAUGGCAGAGUAUAUGUGCUGGUAUCAAUACAUUCAGAAGAGGGGCAAUAUGGCGUAUAGGUGAUGGUUCACAAGUGAACAUUUGGACAGACUCGUGGAUUCAAUCGAGUGCUGAUGGUCGUGUCAUUACACCACGAGGAGGGACACUGCUGUCAAAGGUUGCGGAGUUGAUCGAUCCGGUCAUGGGGUUUUGGGAUCAACAGUUGAUAACUGACGUCUUCUGGCCGGUUGAUGCGCAUAGAAUUCUUGCAAUUCCGCUGGCACCACAUGGGAUGAUGGAAGAUUUUGUAGCCUGGAGGUUUACAAGGAGCUUCGUAUUCUCGGUCCGGUCAGCUUAUCAUGUUGAGUGGCAGCAUCAAUUUGCACGCUGGUAUGAACGAACAGAGGGGGAGCCGUCCCAGCGCCAUCCGGUGUGGAAGAAACUCUGGGAGUCGCCUGCCCCCGCUAAGGUGAAGAUUCAUGCGUGGAAGGUCUUACAUGGAUUCAUACCAUGUUACGGGGUAUUGGCAAAUCGCCACAUUGAUACGUCAGAUAGCUGUCCUAUGUGUGCGGGUGGAUGCGAAGACAUUAUGCAUGCUCUCUUCACUUGCCCUAGGGCAGCCGAAGUAUGGAGAUGUCUGAAUCUUGACGGUUUCGUGGACGAGGCGUGUGAUACUGACAGGGCGGGCUCGGCAGCGUUGGACUAUAUUUUAUGUGCUCCACCUCGUCAGACGUUGAUCCAAGAUAUUCCAGCCCAAUUCCUAAUCCUUGUGGGUAUCUGGUACAUUUGGUGGGAGCGUAGGCAACCACGGGGAGGAAGUGCAGGCCCCGGCCCGAACGGCGUUGUCGAUUGCAGCACUGGCAGCAAAUUAUUCCAAGGCGAUGAAGAAGAAUGCGAUUGA